GAUGAAGAACGUAGCGAAAUGCGAUAAGUAAUGUGAAUUGCAGAAUUCAGUGAAUCAUCGAGUCUUUGAACGCACAUUGCGCCCCCUGGCAUUCCGGGGGGCAUGCCUGUCCGAGCGUCAUUGCUGCCCUCAAGCACGGCUUGUGUGUUGGGUCGCCGUCCCCCUCCGGGGGGACGGGCCCGAAAGGCAGCGGCGGCACCGGGUCCGGUCCUCGAGCGUAUGGGGCUUCGUCACCCGCUCUGUAGGGCCGGCCGGCUGUCUGCCGACGACCUAUUUAAUUUUCUUCAGGUUGACCUCGGAUCAGGUAGGGAUACCCGCUGAACUUAAGCAUAUCAAUAAGCGGAGGA
rnacentral:misc_RNA from 1 species